rnacentral:rRNA from 1 species
UACGUAGGCAGCGAGCGUUGUUCGGAGUUACUGGGCGUAAAGCGUGCGUAGGCGGUGUCUUAAGUUUGUUGUGAAAUCUCCCGGCUUAACCGGGAGGGUGCGGCGAAUACUGAGAUGCUGGAGUGCCGGAGAGGUAAGCGGAAUUCCUGGUGUAGCGGUGAAAUGCGUAGAUAUCAGGAGGAACACCUGCGGUGUAGACGGCUUACUGGACGGUAACUGACGCUGAGGCACGAAAGCGUGGGGAGCGAACGGG